GGCGGAUGUAGCCAAGUGGAUGAAGGCGGU
rnacentral:tRNA from 2 species